UACGGAGGGUGCAAACGUUGCUCGGAAUCAUUGGGCGUAAAGCGUACGUAGGCGGCUUCUUAAGUCGGGUGUGAAAGCCCUCGGCUCAACCGAGGAAGUGCAUUCGAAACUGGGGGGCUUGAAUACUGGAGAGGAUGGCGGAAUUCCCGGUGUAGAGGUGAAAUUCGUAGAUAUCGGGAGGAACACCAGCGGCGAAGGCGGCCAUCUGGACAGAUAUUGACGCUGAGGUGCGAAAGCGUGGGGAGCAAACAGG
rnacentral:rRNA from 1 species